UAGCUAGUUGGUGAGGUAAAGGCUUACCAAGGCGACGAUCUGUAGCGGGUCUGAGAGGAUGAUCCGCCACACUGGAACUGAGACACGGUCCAGACUCCUACGGGAGGCAGCAGUGGGGAAUUUUGGACAAUGGGGGCAACCCUGAUCCAGCCAUGCCGCGUGAGUGAAGAAGGCCUUCGGGUUGUAAAGCUCUUUCGGCCGGGAAGAAAUCGCAUGGGCCAAUACCCUGUGUGGAUGACGGUACCGGAAUAAGAAGCACCGGCUAACUACGUGCCAGCAGCCGCGGUAAUACGUAGGGUGCGAGCGUUAAUCGGAAUUACUGGGCGUAAAGCGUGCGCAGGCGGUUUUGUAAGACAGGCGUGAAAUCCCCGGGCUUAACCUGGGAACUGCGUUUGUGACUGCAGGGCUAGAGUACGGCAGAGGGGGGUGGAAUUCCACGUGUAGCAGUGAAAUGCGUAGAGAUGUGGAGGAACACCAAUGGCGAAGGCAGCCCCCUGGGUCGAUACUGACGCUCAUGCACGAAAGCGUGGGUAGCAAACAGGAUUAGAUACCCUGGUAGUCCACGCCCUAAACUAUGUCAACUAGGUGUUGGGUGGGUAAAACCAUUUAGUACCGUAGCUAACGCGUGAAGUUGACCGCCUGGGGAGUACGGCCGCAAGGUUAAAACUCAAAGGAAUUGACGGGGACCCGCACAAGCGGUGGAUGAUGUGGAUUAAUUCGAUGCAACGCGAAAAACCUUACCUACCCUUGACAUGCCAGGAACUUGCCAGAGAUGGCUUGGUGCCCGAAAGGGAGCCUGGACACAGGUGCUGCAUGGCUGUCGUCAGCUCGUGUCGUGAGAUGUUGGGUUAAGUCCCGCAACGAGCGCAACCCUUGUCGUUAAUUGCCAUCAUUUAGUUGGGCACUUUAACGAGACUGCCGGUGACAAACCGGAGGAAGGUGGGGAUGACGUCAAGUCCUCAUGGCCCUUAUGGGUAGGGCUUCACACGUCAUACAAUGGUCGGUACAAAGGGUUGCCAAGCCGCGAGGCGGAGCCAAUCCCAGAAAGCCGAUCGUAGUCCGGAUUGCAGGCUGCAACUCGCCUGCAUGAAGUCGGAAUCGCUAGUAAUCGUGGAUCAGCAUGUCACGGUGAAUACGUUCCCGGGUCUUGUACACACCGCCCGUCACACCAUGGGAGCGGGUUCCGCCAGAAGUAGGUAGCCUAACCGCAAGGGGGGCGCUUACCACGGCGGGGUUCGUGACUGGGGUGAAGUCGUAACAAGGUAGCCGUAGGGGAACCUGCGGCUG
rnacentral:rRNA from 1 species